rnacentral:lncRNA from 1 species
AAGAAAGUGUUGAGGAAGUCUUAUCAUGGAUGUAGGUCGACGAUACACUGUUAACCGAAUCACGUAAAUUUUUGUAUCCUUACUCUUCUUUAGUAUUUGUUAUUUUCGUUCUUAUUUUUUGAUCAUUCUCGUCAAAUUUUCUCUUCAUACGAUCCUACUUUUUCGCUGCUCUCGUAUGUCAUAAAGGUUUAAUGAAUCCGCCAGUUUGAAUACAACUCCUUAAAAGAUACAAGAAAUAUUAACAGUUAUGAUUUUUUCUCAUAAUUGCCUAUAUUAUUCUCCUUAUAACAGACAGUAAAACAUUCUAGCCUGAGAAACAUAUUUUAACUUCAUAUUAUAACAACCGACCGUCUCUAGAGCAAGUGGCAAAGGGCUUGGUGGUUGGUACUCGAGACCCAAGUUCGAAUCCUAGCUGAUUCACAUUUUCAGCUAUGUUUAGAAAUAUAAAGAAGCAGAUAGCAUGCUACCUAUCUCUCUCUCAAAAAAAAAAAAAAAAAAAACUUCAUAUUAUAACAAAGUGCUUGAAAUUGAAAAACUUUAAUUUUUUUUAAAGGAAAUUUUUUCUAAAGAUUGGCCAAACAUGGAUCCCAACACAUUAUAAUUUUCUUGUUAAAUUCUGUAACUAUGCAUAUUUUGUCACAUGGAUCAAGUCAUGUAAGAAAAACCAAGUGAAGUGACCUCUUACUUUAUUUUGCCUCUACCUUUUUCUACUCUUUGUCAAUGGACAUAACUGGCACUUCUAUUUUUUUUUUUAAAAAUUUUUUAAAUUUUUGUUUGUCAAAUCCACAUGGAUAAGCAGAUAGAUGCAUUUAUGUUCACAUAUAAAACGUGAUUUCAAUGGAAAACCUAUUUUUCUUUAUGAAAAUGACACAUCCGACACUGCGUACGUGUCUGGUUCAAAAUAGAAUGAGAAUGGUAAAAUCUUUCUACAUGAAUAAUAGAUUUUUAUGUUCAUUGUUUGAUUGAGAUGGAAAAAAAAUUAUUAUAAAAGAUAAUUAAAAUUAAAAUAUAAAAUAAACUUUAAGAUUGAGUUUCACAAGUCAAAACGUAGAAUUAAAUUUAUAAUUUAAAUUUAAACUAAAACUUAAAUAUUUACACAAAAAUUUUAAAAUGAUAAGCUAAAAUUUAAGUUAAUUUUUUUAAAAAUUUUAAAUUUAAAAUUGAGCUGACAAUUUAAGGCAUAAAACAAAUUUAUAACUUCAAAUUCAAAUGAAAAAACUACAAUUUAAAAUUUUAAUUUAAAUGCAUUAAUUAAUUUAAAAUUUAAAUAAAAAUUUAGAUUAGUAGCUCAAAUUCAGAAUGCUUGUUUGAAUUUAAAUUUUAAUUCAAGUUCCAAUCAAAAUCUAAAAACUAAAUAUUAAUUUCUAAAUUUAAGCUUAUAUUUUAAUUAAAAAUUAAGUUAAAAAUUAAAAUUAAUUCUACAUGAACUUAUAAAUAUAACUAGUGUAUUUUGGGAACAAACUGUCAUUCCUUCCGGAUUCAAAUUCCAAUCCGACAUCUUAACCCGGAUUGGAAAAAUAGAUGGUUGGAAAAAUUCUUUCCGCGUAGAAAUUAAAAUCAAAAUUUAGAACUCCUGUAUAUCAAAUAUUCGCAAAUAAAAUCGUCGGUCACAAUUUCGAUUCCACAAUGAGAAAGUGCGCGAACCAAACACGCCAUAUAUUGCUUCUUUCAUUUACAUGCCUUUUUGUCGGCUACUAAUUUUUGUGAUUAGAUUUUCACGAGUAAAUAAAUUGCACCACAAAAGUCGAAUUUUCAUUCGAAUUUCAAUAUGGUAUUCAAAAUUGCAAAGUUCCACAUUAGAGACUCUAAACUUUUAACAUAGUUUCGCGUUAUUUUUAUGUAUAUUUGCUAUUAAAAUGUAAACUAUUACUUAACAUAUAUCCAAUAUAUCUGUAUAUUUAUAUAUCGUGCAUUUAUUAAUUCUUAAUAGAUUAUAUUUUGAAAAAAAAUUAUAUGCACACUCCAUAUAGCACUAAAUAGGUUGUAAGCAAUACACCUAAACUUAGGGAGCCCAUUGGUUCGGGGAUAACGAAUAUUAGAAUAAUUAUUUUUUAUCUCCGAAAUGGCUUACUAUUCUUGAAUAUUCUGAAAUAAAAGUAAAAUUAUUAUUAUUUUUUAUAAUAUUGCCAUUCUCAGAAAUAAUUAUGGAAUAGUAGAGGAUAGUGGAAAAAAAAAUAAUGGUUGAAUUUGAUAUAAAAUAUAAUUUAAUGAAAAAUAUAUUUUGUAAUAUUUAAUAACAAAUAACUUAGUAAAAAAUAUAAUUUAGUAAAAAAUUAUUUAUUAUAAAACAAUUUAUUAUAAUAUUUAAAUACAAAUAAUAAUAUGUAUUAAUAUAGUGUAAUUAAUAUUUUUAUAAUAAAAAUAAUUUAUUAGAAUAUAUAAUAUAUCAUGUCUACAUAAUCUACUUUAAUCCAAUUUAUAAUUUAUAAUAUUAAUAACAAUUGGAAUUAAACCUUGGAAUGACAAUAUUUCACCAAAAUGGUGAAUAGUUUAUCUCAAUUUAUUUCGGAAUAAUCGGGAAAUGUUAGGUUUGAUCGUAGUAUUUUAUUUUGGCCAAAAAAUAAUAUUUUUUGUUCGACAGAAUAGUGAAAAUAACUUUAAUAAAUUUUGUUUUAUUCCCGAAUCAAAUGGAGCCUAGGAUAUAUGUACGUAGUAUUGCUCUUAUAUUUUGACCCUAUUAUAUAUAUAUCUACAGAGUUGUAGUUUUGUUUUUUAAUCUAUUUACAAAAAUAGGCUAUUAUUCUGAAUUCGUGAGAUAGACGAAGGGCCAACGGAUUCGUAACAUGCAGGAAUACAGGUGAAUUAAUCAUCCUAAAACUAUUUUUUUUUUUUUACUCCAAAGAUGAACCAAAAUAAAAAUUACUAAAAAUUUCAUAACUAAAAUGAUCAAAAUAAAUUAUUUCGAUUAUUAGCGGCUUAAAAUCACAAUAUAUAAGAAAAAUACAGGGAUUAGAAUAUUUGAACGAACAAUAUUGGGACCUAUUAACAGUAUGUUAUUAGUACAAAAAAUACUCGUAAAAUUAUAAAGAGAAAACUUUAAAUAUCAUCCCUAUAGUUUCAUGUUUUUUUACUAUAGUGUUCUGUGGUUUAAAAUGUAUCACUUUAGUACUUUAUGGUUUUAUUUUUUUUUCUUUUCGUUAUUUCCUACAUUAAUAUUUUUGUUAAAUCAGAGAUAUAGUUAAAACCACAAGAGUAUUAAAGUAAAAAUUUGGUAAACCAAAGAAUAUUAAAGUGAAUAUUCGAUAAACCAUAAGUGGGGUAUGUAUCUGAAGUUUUUUGUAUAUGAUUUAGCAAAGAGUUAAUGAAGAUACUCAUUGAAAAGAAAAAAAUAAAAUUAUGAGAUACUAAAAUAAUAUACUUUAAAUCAUAGAAUACUAAAAUGAAAAAAUACGAAACCACAUAAAUGAUAUUUUAAGUUUAUCCAAAUAUAAAACAUUUGAGUGUACAAUGUUUGGGAAACCAUCUGAAUAUUCACGUAUGGAGCAAUUAUUACUCCUUUACUAUUAUUUAUUGAGUUGCAAUUUUUUUUUUUCUGUUUACAAAAAUAUAAUUUUUUUCUCCGGAGAGGACUAAAACAAAUAAAAAUUAUUAGAAAUUUUGUGCCUAAGAUGAUCAAAAUAAAUUAUUGUGACAGUCAAAAAGUUAAAAAUCACAUUAUUUUAAGUGACAAAUAUUAGAACCUACUAGAAAUACGCAAUUAGUACGGAAACUAACUCGCAAAAUUUGGCCCAAAAAAAUAAAAGAAAAAAAAACCAUAGGAAAACUACACCCUCUACCUUGUUCAUCUAUAGCUUACACUUUGAUAGUGUGUCAAAUAAAUCUACAAAAUAUGAUAAAAUUGUUAUUGAAUUUAAUAUUUUUCUAAAAUCAGUUAAUAGAGGUAAAUUUUAUUUACAUGAGAAAAUUACCAUCUAUAUUUCUAUAUCUAUAUCUAUAUUCUAUAUUCUAUUUAUAUAGAUAUAUUAUUUCUCAAUAACUUCAGCGUCACGUCGAUACAUGGCAGCGGAGCCGCGGCUGGGAGCGGAUGCGGAGGCGGGGCGCACGAGGGCGCGGGCGCGGGCGCGGGCGCGAGGCGAGGGCGGAGGCGCCGGGGUGGGCGCGUGCACGGGAGCUGGCGCGGGGUGGGCUCGACACUGGUUGGAGCGAGCGAGGGCCGAGGCGGGCGCAGGCGGAGCGCCGGGUGGGUGCGAGCCUGGGCGGGGGGCCGGCAUGGCAGCGCGCGCAGCGCUGCGGUCUGCGCGGAGCGUAAAGAAAUCGGGCUCAUGAUGUUUUCACGGAGGUCACGGGCACUCCAGCUCUUGGACCAAUGAGAAGGAGGUCAUUUUAUUCUUCUCUCAUAUAUAUAUUUAAUUUUAUUUUAUAAUAUAUAGUUAUUUAAUUAUAUUAUAGUAUUUUAUUUUUUAUAUAGAUAUAUUAUUAUAUAAUAAUUUAUUAUAUAAUUUACUAUUUAUUUUUAUAAAAUAUAAAAUAUAUAAAUAAAUAUUAUAUAUAUAAUUUUUACAAAUAUUUAUUUAUUUAUUAUAUAUAGUAUUUUAUUUUUAUAUAGAUAUUAUAUUAUUAUAUAAUAAUUUAUUAUAUAAUUUACUAUUUAUUUUUAUAAAAUGUAAAAUAUAUAAAUAAAUUUUAAAUAAUUUAGACUAUUGGUAUUAGAUAUAAAUGGUAAUUUUAUAAUAUUGAGCAUUCACAUAUAAAUUGUACAUUAAAAAAUAAAAAAAAAUUGAUAUAGCUUAAGUUAAUUUUAUAUUUGACGAAAGUUAAUUGCGAGAAUCAUAAGCAAUGAUUUCCCUUCUCAUACACUAACUACUGGGGGACUAUGAUAUCUACUAAAAAUUAUUUCACUAACUAAUGGUGGACUACUAUGCCUAUUAAAAUUUUUUGAUGUACUUAUUGUACCAUUUAUUAUUUCUCAAUCCCUUAAACAUAUGGUCAUGCUUGAAAUAAUUAGUAUGGGAUAAUUUCAUUCGUAUCUCUGAAAAUAUUAGAAAUAUUAUAGAUAAUUUUACAAAAUUAGCAAUAUCAAAUCAAACAAAAGAGUUGAAGAACUAUUUCAAAAUAUCUUAUUGUUGAGAGAGCUCAUUAUAUUUUCUAUUUAAAAUUAUUUCGUAAUUUAUCCGUAAUAUUUUAUAAUUAUUAUAAAAUUAAUUUUUAUAACUAAUUUUUAAAAUUAAAAUUUAAAAUAACUAUCCACUGCAUCGCGCGGGUCCCUUAACUAGUUAUUCACAAACUUGGACUUUUUUUUUUACUUAGAGACUAGACGUGACAUUUGAGGUAAAAAUUAAUGCAAAGUUUAAUGCAAAGAGGUAAUUAAGAUAUGAUUCAAAAUAUAUGGGGUGAUUUUUAUAAUUUAGUUUCUUAUUAAAAAAAAAAAUUUCAAAACUCUGGAGUUUAUUAUAAAAAACAAUGAAAAGUUAGGGACCUUUUGGGAAAAAUCUGAAAAGUAAGGGACUUAUAUUCAAAAUUGGUGCGGCACGAACGCCUUCGAAAUCCUUUUCGAGCUCCCUCACGAAGACCUUCCCCCGAAAAUCUAGGGUUUCCGAGCGCCCCAAUCGCGGGCGCUUCACGCUCCCAAAACCCGCGCCAAGCUUCCUCCUUUCCCCGCUCGAUCCUAGGGUUUUCGCUGUCCCUUCCCCCCUGCACAGUUUGAUUCGCUGCUCUCGUCGAACUAUUGGAGAUCGAGGCGAGGUUUGGUCUUCUGAGGCUCCGGAAUCUGUUUCCGAGUUUAGGGUUUUGUUUUGUGAAAUCGAGCUGGGUUUUGGUGGUGACGGUAAUGGCGGAGGUUGGAGGGGAGUGGUAGAGGGAAAUGAUUAGGGUCUUAUUGUGUUGGCGCAUGCGGAGCUUCGCUUCUCCUCUUGGAUUUGCUCAAUCAGUGUAUGUUGAUCAUACUCUUAGCUUAAUCAGUAGAUUUGUGGAUGUUUCGCAUUUAAUGUCAAUUUUGUUGCAUUUAAUGGCUCUAUACCGCUUUUUAGCUGAGGGAACAGUGGUUUCCUUUCCUAGAGUGAUUAGUACUACGGAAAUCUCCAGUUCAAGUAAUAGCAAUGAUUCAAAAUCGAAGCAAGGAAAAGUCGAGGGGUUGCUAAUAAAAAAAAUUAGAGUUUGGGGUUCUGUUUCAAAAUGGGCUGUAAUUGAGAAGGUCUCCUAUUCCUUUAUGGAUUUUGACAUUAGGUUUGCAGUGUUAGUAGUUGUUGUUACGCGGCAUCUGGGGCACCUUUUGUGUGAUUAUGUAGUUAUAUGUUCUUGUUAGUUUGAAGCUGCUUAAGUUAUAUUGGAAUUAGUGGGGCUGCUAAAAUGUCUUAUGGUUACAAUGUUAAUUGCUUUAUCUGAUUAGCAAUAAUGAAGUUUUAUUCAUGAAUGCUGUUGUGGAAGUGAAUUUUUAUUAUCAUUUGUCAUUUUAUUAGGUGAUUGAGAAAUUCUUUUUCAAUAAAUCUUUAGAAGGUGUGAGAUGAACUUACUCAUUGACGCAAUACGUAAUUUAUUAAUUACGUAAACUGAGUGUAGCUAGUGUUGUAUUUUUAAUCUGAACCAACAUGGUAAUUUGGUCUUUUGCAUCUCAACCAUUCCAAGAUGGUGUUUGAAAUCCUUAUGACAGCAGCCCACUAGGCCAAAUUCUAAGUUUAAACAAGGUUAGCUUGCAGAAUAUGGUUUGUUUUGUGGAGUGUGUGGCAACUGCAAAGUCCAAACAGACCUGCAAAAUUCGAUCUUUUUGGCCUUCAAAGUCCAUGGGAUUAAUAUUUGUUUUUAACUGUCUCAGGGGCUGGUGCUAUCCUUUUACCUAUUUAACUUGGUGCUUUUCGUAAAGUGAGCACUUGCUCACUUGAUGUGUUUUAUGUUCUUACAAUGAGCAAGCUGGUUGUUCUGCUGAUGGCAAUUUUUUUUACCGACCUUUUUAAUUCUUUAUCAGCCUUUUUCUUCAUCCCAUAUCACUUGAGGAGCUAGAGCUGGAUUUGUGACAUUGUCUUAACAUAAAGAACUGCAUCCAGAUCUGGUAUUACUUUGUAGUGGCUACUUUAAGAUCUUGAGAAGUCCACAAUGGCAGAUGCUGGUGAAAGAACUGAUACCUCAACAGACAUUGAUGCCGAUGAGAGAAACCACAGGGUAACCAUCUUUCUCCUAUUUCCUUUUUUCCUUAAAUAUUCUUGGGGUUUUCUCUUUUCAUAUAUCCCUACAAAAUCAUCGAAUGAAAUUGUACAUAUAUUUAAGAACGGGUCCUUUUGUAAUUAUUAUAUAUGCGUAAGAUUUUGGAUUUUAAUGGGCCUAUAUGAAAAUUCAGAUUUUUGCAGGAUUUCAUAUGUGAAUAGAUAAUUUUGCAGGUGUAUGUAUUGAAUAUGUAUAUUCAGAAAAAGGUCAUUUUCUUUUCUCUUGGAUGCUGUAGUUGCAGAACAGAUUUUCAGAGCACACUCUGUAGGCAUUAGAGUGUACCAUAAUUCAUCGUCUCUUUACUUUUAUAAUAUGAUGCUAUAUCUCAUCGGCUGUUACAUGAAUAGCAGACCGUGAUUGAAGUUAAACAUAAACUUAGUGAUGGUUAUUUGUUUUUGUUAUCUGAUUGCAUGAUGUUUAGCUGUUACUUUAUGGGUACUUAUUAUGAUUGAUUUUGCUCGUUGAUGAAGGUUAAUUGAGUUAUUUAUCAGUUUGUUGAUUGUAUAUGCUUAUUGUUGUCAAUGUGCAGUUAGAACGAGGACAAACUGCUGUUGUAGCAGCUUCUGAUUCUAGCGAUAGGUCAAAGGAUAAAACUGGGGACCAAAAAGUAAUAACUUUGCUUUUAGCCUUAACUCCCAAGUAGCUGCUAUAUAUGUGGUCAUCUUUUAUAACUUCCCUUUCCACAGACUCUUCGUCGUCUUGCACAAAACCGUGAAGCUGCAAGAAAAAGCCGUUUGAGGAAAAAGGUCUGCAGAUGCAUGCUUGGAUUUUUUUUUCUUUUUUUUUCCGCACUCAUCGUAUCUAAUAAUCUUUGGUUUUUUGGAAAAGAAUCUAUUAUCUUCCAAAGUUUUUGUUAAUAUUGCAUAAUUUACAUGGAUAGGUUACUUUAGGCUCACCAUUUUACUUUCCUUUUGUUGAAAAAUACGGACAUAAGAUGAAUUGCAGUUGUUAGCAAGCUAUGAUGAGAGAACACAUAUUUAAUUAUUGUUGAAAAGAAAAGGAUGUGAUAACUCAAAAUCAACUUCAUCAUCUGUAAGAUCAAAUGCUAAACUACACCGGUAGACUCGCCUUCAUAAGAUAAAUUAGAUAAUAGCCUAAACUGCAGGAAACCCUAUGUUACUACAUUGCUGCUCUGAAGUUUCAAAACCCACAUUUUACCUUAUUUAUUGAGGACGAGAAAAAUAUUGCCUAACAGAAGGCUGAUGGAGUAAAUUGUAAAUAUUGAAAUUUCAGGGGACUAAGUGAAUCUGGCAAUAUUUAUAGUGAAAUGGAUUAUGAAUGCUGUCUAUAAAAGAGUCUCUUGUACAUAGCUAUAGAGUUUUGAACCUUGAUUUGUUGGUUUUUUAAGUUAUCGUUACUAAUUGUUCUCCUUAUAUUUCCAAAGGCAUACGUUCAACAAUUGGAGAGUAGUAGACUGAAACUUACACAACUAGAGCAGGAGCUCCAGCGGGCCCGCCAACAGGUUUCUUUGUAUUACUUGUUUUUUGAUAUUUAUUGUCAAUCAUCUAUUUUAAGGGCACUGAAUCAUUUGAGAGUUUUUUUGUCAAUAUUAUAGUCGGAGUUUAUUUAGCUAGAAUUUCUGUUGCAGGGUAUCUUUAUUUCUAGCACAGGAGACCAAUCUCAUACAAUAAGUGCGAAUGGUAAUUCCAAAAUUUGUAGUUUAUGACAUUCCUUUUUUUUCGUAAGGACUUGUGAUAAGAAGGAUGCCCUAAGAAUCUUUAGUAUGGAGCUAAGUGUUGCUUCUCUGCCGUGAAAAGUAGCAGCCAAGCAUUUGGGAAACAAAAAGCAUGGAGUUUCUUGGUCCCAAAAGUUGAAGCUCCACUUCGCAGCCUUUGCUUCUCCUGUAGCAGGAAGCUACUGAGGGAAUUUUAACGUAAAAAAAACUGCUAUUAUUUCUUUAACAGCUUAAGCAACAUUUUUGCAGAAGCUCCGGCCGGACAAAACAUGUUGUGAAAUUAAAUAUCUCAAGCCGCACUAGUUUUCUCAGGGAUGAACUGAAAAUUCUUUCUACAGGAGCUAAAUCUUUCGACAUAGAGUACGGGCGGUGGCUGGAAGAGCAUAACCGGCAGGUAAAUGAGCUAAGGGCUGCGGUGAAUGCUCAUGCUAGUGACACAGAUCUCCGUACUAUUGUUGAUGGCAUCACGACGCAGUUUGAUGAGAUUUUCAAGAUCAAAGGUGUCGCUGCUAAGGCAGAUGUCUUUCAUAUCUUAUCAGGCAUGUGGAAGACUCCUGCAGAGAGGUGUUUCAUGUGGCUUGGCGGUUUCCGCCCAUCUGAAAUUUUAAAGGUGAAAAUUUGUAUAUAUCAUAGGGAUAUUUGCAUAUGUUGCAAAAUUAUCUAUUUUAUUAUGUAUAUCCCUGCAAAUUCUGAAGUUGCAUGUGUACCCUUAAAAACAUUGCGUAUAAUGUUUGCAAAAGUGCCCCUCUUUGAAAUGCUUUCUGAGUUUUUGAAACUGGCUCCCUUCAUGUGUAUUGGAUCGACUCCGAACUUAAUAUGUAUCUUCAAUAAGAAACUGCUCUUUUGAAAGGGCUAUGUGCAAUUCAGAUUUUACAAGAGAUAACCGUAAAUAGGUGAUAGUUAUGUGAAUAUUUCUGUCCAAUUUUAUGACUGUUUGCAACUGAAUGCAAAGUCUAGGAACCCAAAUUGUAUAAGUUUGAAGGAUCCAGGACCAGACUAAAACCGUACUAAGAUACUUGAGACUUUCUUCCAUGCCUUCAUGUUGAAACUAUGUUUCUUACUAUGCUACACAACAUGUGCAGCUUCUCUCAAAUCAGCUGGAGCCUCUGACAGAGCAGCAGGUGAUGGGCUUAUGCGAUCUUCAGCAAUCUUCUCAGCAAGCCGAGGAUGCUCUCUCGCAAGGGAUGGAGGCAUUGCAGCAGUCCUUAGCGGAAACACUGGCUGGCUCUCUUGGGCCCUCAGGAUCCUCAGGGAACGUGGCGAACUACAUGGGCCAGAUGGCCAUGGCCAUGGGCAAACUCGGGACGCUAGAAAAGUUCCUUCGCCAGGUAAUUCUUCUUCUUCGAAUUUGUCAACCAACAGGUUUUUUUUCUUUUAAGUUGCAGAUAUAAUUUAGUCACAUAGUAGUAUGGUUCAUUGUUAGUUACCACCGUCCUUGGGCCAUGCUGGGCCAAAAAAUCCAAUGUGUGACCUGGCUUGGCUUCUGGAAUAGUUUAUCUACCCGAUAAUCAGUAGCCAUGUUGGGGUAAUAAAAAGAAGCUUCCGACUGGGUUGGGAGGCUGAAAUAAGAUUUUAGGCUUCAAAACCGGAAGUUCCAAUUUGAAUCCUAUGUUUUGAAUUUUAUUGGGAAAGUUCGAGGGGUGUUAAGGGAAACAUCCCUAGGGCUUCUUUUGAACAAUUCUACUAAAACAACACUUCUGCAAAUGCUAUGAUCACAAAAAAUAACUUGUCUGGGAUCCCUUAAGUUUGCGUCUUAGCUAUUAGGCCAACAUGUAUGGGCGGUCUCUGUGCUAUCCUGAUAUUGCAUUUUGGUCCCUUUAGUUUUGACCUAAAUACUUUAGCUGUCGAUAUGAAAAAUGUGACUUAUUUUGUAAAAUGGCGUUAUAAUCCUGUUUAAAGCAAAACUUUAACGAGUCAUUUUACACCUGAAAAUUCAUAGAUCAAAGUGCAAUAUAUGUGAAAGUGCGGGAAUUAAAGUGUUUAAUGAAAAGGUACAAUAAGUUAUAAAAUCGGAAUGGUAAGGGGAGUACCUCCACAUGUUGCCCUACAUAUUCUGCUGUCCUGCUUUUAUCUGUGCUGGGUUUUCGAAGAUGGGCCUGGCUUUAGAUUUUCGGCACAACUUUCACUGCAAGAUUUCUUCUUUUUUUUUUUUGUAAUAUAUAUUAUUCCUUUCGUUUUUCCUUGUCUCUUCCAGGCAGACAACCUGCGGCAGCAGACUCUGCAACAAAUGCAUCAGAGAUUAACCACCCGUCAAUCCGCACGCGCCGUCCUCACCAUACAUGAUUACUUCUCGCGGCUCCGCGCGUUGAGCUCUCUAUGGCUUGCUCGGCCCCGAGAGUAGUAACCCAAAUUAAUUAAAUAGAGAUGCUUCCGAAAAUCUAGUUAAUUUUAAACUGUACCCUGGACCCAAAUUAAUUUAAAAAAAAAAAAUUGAUGCAGGUUUCGUAGGAUUGGUUCGGUUGUAUAGGGUUUGAUUGCAUCCACUUGUUCAAAAGUGUAACAUUAACUUUGUUACCAGAAUUGAUUGUUGAUAGAUGUUGUACUUCUACAUGUACUUGUAAAUCUGAUGAUGCUUUGAGCUUUUUCCGUGUAAUGCAACAGAUGAGCGAAAAGUUGAAAACCCCCGUGUAUUUGAUGCUGAAUUUGUGUUCAGUUUGUUGAAAAACUGUUUGUAUUAUUUGGUGCUUGUGGUUCUGUGGUUUGAAAACCAGAUCCCCAAAUGUUUCUUUCGCAAAUGGAAAAAAAUCCAGUAUUUAUCUAGUACCAAAAAUCCUUUUGUUUUUGUUAUUUUUUUAGGGAAAACUUCAAAAAACCUCCUUGUGGUUUCAAUUUUUUUCACUUUAGUAUCCUGUGGUUUAAAAUGUAUCAAGUUAGUAUCUUGUGGUUUCUCACUUUAUCACUUUAGUAUCCUGUGGUUUAAAGUGUAUCAAGUUAGUACCCUGUGGUUUUGCAUUUUAUCACUUUAGUACCCUAUGGUUUUGAUUUUGUAUCAAAUUAGUACCCUGUGGUCUUUUAAACUAUAGGGUACUAAAGUGAUAAAGUGUGAAACCACAUGGUACUAAAGUGAUAAAGUACAAAACCACAACGUACUAAUUUGAUACACUUUAAACCACAGGGUACUAAAGUGAUAAAGUGAGAAACCACAGGGUACUAAUUUGAUACAAUUUAAACCACAGGAUACUAAAAUGAAAAAGUGUGAAACCACAUAGGGGCUUUUUGAAGUUUUCCCUUUUUUUUAGCUAUAGCCGCAUCUAAUAAAUCGUUUUUAGGGCCUGUUUGUUUGUCCGUAAAAAGCGGAAAAUUACUCUUAUGUUGAGCUAAAAUUUAUGUGAAAUGCUUUUUUUUGGCCACUACCAUUUGCUUGAGUUUUGAAAUUGUAGUUAUCUCAUUUAUUUUAACUUAUUAUAUUUAAAAUUUUUCGUAUUAAUAAUAUAUAAAAGGGAGAAACAAAAGUUAUAACACAAUUUUUUUUUUAUUUAUUUUGUUCCAUCUUUAUAUUUUUUUUUGUGUAAUUGACUUUGCCGCUCGCUACUCAAGGCGAAGUUAAUUACGGUGUUAAAACUGUAGUUAAAGAUGAAUUUAAUUUAUUAUAGCAGAUUGAACAACAUAAGACGAUAUUUACGGUCGAAAAUAACUUCACACUUCGUGAACUUUUUUCGAGAAGCAAAAAAACAUUGCAAAACAAAAACACAAAAAAAAAAUAAAUAAAUAAAUUAAAACAAUAAAAACAUAAUAGAGAUGCGGGGUAUCGAUCCCCGUACCUCUCGCAUGCUAAGCGAGCGCUCUACCAUCUGAGCUACAUCCCCACUUGAUUUAAAAGGUUUAAAUUUAAAUUUAAAUCUUGUUACUAAAAUAAAAUUCAAGGUGACAAAACAUUAAAAAAGGAAAAAGAAAAUGGGAAAUAAAAAUUGAAAGCAUUAGAGUGGAAAAAACAUGAAAAUAUAUGAGGAUAGUGGAUUUGUUCAUGUUUUUUCUUAUCCUUCAAUUAAACAAGUUAGAUUUUCUCCUCUUCUUUUUUUUGGUAAAAAAAAGCUUAUUAAUGUUUUUUUAUUUUGUUUCCAUCCAGACUAGAUUGAAAUUUAGACCAAACAACUGGAAAUGAAGGAAUUGGUUCCUCGAGAAAUAUUUCUGAAACUAGUUUUCUGGCUAAAAAAGUAUUUUCUAUCUGUUUGUUUCCUAAAGAAAGUAGUUUUUCUGAAAUUCUUUUUUCAGAUUUUAUGAAAGAGUAGUGUUUUCAUUUCUCAAAAUUUUUUAUCCAGAAAAUAAAACUACGGAAAUGAUGUUUUGUUUUGUUUUUUUUGUUUUGUUUUUUAUGUUUUUUUUUGUCUUGGAAAACAGUUUUUCACAAAUUUUGGAGAACCUAUUAUGAUGGAAUGGUUGUUAAUUGUUUAUAAUAUUGAAUAGUUUGGGCCCAUUUAGAUAAUUUAAUGAGUAAUUUGACAAUAAUUUGUGCGAUAUAAUUAAGAUUUUUUUGUUUUUUUUUUUUGUGAUUAAGUUUUAGCAAUGGUAAAACCUCAUACUUAUAGGUUAAAACUUUGUCCCCCAUAUUUUAGGUCAUUUUGAAAUUAGGCAUCUUUAACAUCUUUUAUUUAUUUUUUCUUGGCAUUUACUCACCCUCUAAUUAUUUUUUCUUUUUCGAGUUAUUUUGGUCAGUUAAAUUAGAGAUAUUGCUUCUAUUGAUGAAUUUUCUCAGUCUGUAUCUAGUGAUUAAUUAAAUAAAAUCGCCUCAGGGCGUGUUUUCUCUCUCUCUCUCAAAAAAAAAAAAGAGAUAUUGCUAAUAUUCAACAGCUUUGUUAGUUAUUUGUUGUUAAAUUGUUCUAAUUUUACCUAAAAAGUAAUUAGAGCAAUUGAACUUAACAAUAAUCACUAUUGAAUUUUGUAAAAUUUUCACUUUUCCUUCACUAGAAUCACACAAAUAAAAAAAUAAAAAAAUAAAU